rnacentral:rRNA from 1 species
AGUUGCUUAACGCGUGAAGGCCGAGCACUCUAGACGAACUGCCGUUGACAAAACGGAGGAAGGUGGGAUGACGUCAAUCAUCAUGCCCUUAUGUUCUGGGCUACACACGUGCUACAAUGGCCGGUACAGACGGACGCAAAGCCGCGAGGUGGAGCAAAUCCUAAAAAGCCGGUCUCAGUUCGGAUUGCAGGCUGCAAUUCGCCUGCAUGAAGUCGGAAUCGCUAGUAAUCGCAGGUCAGCAUACUGCGGUGAAUACGUUCCCGGGCCUU